rnacentral:rRNA from 1 species
ACACAUGCAGUCGAGCGGAUGAAGGGAGCUUGCUCCUUGAUUCAGCGGCGGACGGGUGAGUAAUGCCUAGGAAUCUGCCUGGUAGUGGGGGACAACGUUUCGAAAGGAACGCUAAUACCGCGUACGUCCUACGGGAGAAAGCAGGGGACCUUCGGGCCUUGCGCUAUCAGAUGAGCCUAGGUCGGAUUAGCUUGUUGGUGAGGUAAUGGCUCACCGAGGCGACUAUCCGUAACUGGUCUGAGAGGAUGAUCAGUCACACUGGAACUGAGACACGGUCCAGACUCCUACGGGAGGCACCUGUGGGGAAUAUUGGACAAUGGGCGAAAGCCUGAUCCAGCCAUGCCACGUGUGUGAAGAACGUCUUCGGAUUGUAAAGCACUUUAAGUUGGGAGGAAGGGUUGUAGAUUAAUACUCUGCAAUUUUGACGUUACCGACUGAAUAAGCACCGGCUAACUCUGUGCCAUCAGCCGCGGUAAUACAGAGGGUGCAAGCGUUAAUCGGAAUUACUGGGCGUAAAGCGCGCGUAGGUGGUUUGUUAAGUUGGAUGUGAAAGCCCCAGGCUCAACCUGGGAACUGCAUCCAAAACUGGCAAGCUAGAGUACGGUAGAGGGUGGUGGAAUUUCCUGUGUAGCGGUGAAAUGCGUAGAUAUAGGAAGGAACACCAGUGGCGAAGGCGACCACCUGGACUGAUACUGACACUGAGGU